rnacentral:rRNA from 1 species
UGGGGAAUAUUGGACAAUGGGGGCAACCCUGAUCCAGCCAUGCCGCGUGAGUGAUGAAGGCCUUCGGGUUGUAAAGCUCUUUUGGCGGGGACGAUGAUGACGGUACCCGCAGAAUAAGCCCCGGCUAACUUCGUGCCAGCAGCCGCGGUAAGACGAAGGGGGCUAGCGUUGUUCGGAAUUACUGGGCGUAAAGCGAGUGUAGGCGGUUGCCGUAGUCAGGUGUGAAAGCCUUGAGCUCAACUCAAGAAAUGCACUUGAUACUGGGUGACUAGAGGACCGGAGAGGAUAGUGGAAUUCCCAGUGUAGUGGUGAAAUACGUAGAGAUUGGGAAGAACACCAGUGGCGAAGGCGGCUAUCUGGACGGUUACUGACGCUAAGACUCGAAAGCGUGGGGAGCAAACAGGAUUAGAUACCCUGGUAGUCCACGCCGUAAACGAUGGGUGCUAGACGUUGGCGAGCUUGCUCGUCAGUGUCGCAGCUAACGCGUUAAGCACCCCGCCUGGGGAGUACGGCCGCAAGGUUG